CUAAAGUAGAAGCUGGGCAGUUGACUAGUGGUCUCUAAAGUAGAAGGCUGGGCAUCUGACAAGUGGUCCCUAAAGUAAAAGGCUGGGCAGCUGUCCAGUGGUCUCUAAAGUAGAGGGUUGUUGUGAGGGAAAUCCUGCAAGCAUGUGACGGAGUGGCAGGGAGGGGACCGGAGGAAACAGAAAUGAGUCUCGUGCAUCCUGAGGCAAGAGUAUUUUCCAAGGGUUAGUUCCUCUGCAGCCUGAGUGGAAAAGAACAGUGGGAAGCUGAGGUCCUGCACUCUGGGCACAAAGCCACCAGCUGCCUAGAGGAGACUGAAGUUAGAGUGACAACAGGGCCGAGAAGGCAGAAUUUGAAAAUGGUUGAUAAAGAGACUGAGGCCAAUGAACCUGCUCAAAGUUAUGUACAGUAAGUGACAAUACUAAGAUUCCUCUGAUUUUAAAGUCUCUCAGGACAAUGUUUUCCAUUGUACCAUACUUUAUUUCAAGUCCAAACUCUAAUUUUGCAGAAGAACUGCUCCUGAGACAAGAGAAAUGACUUUUCCAAAGUUACACAGUGAUUUAAUGCCAGAGCAAUUACCUGGAAUCCUAGCUUCCUAGGCUAUAUUUGUGCCAUUCUACGACAUUUAUUCUUUUUUUUUUUUAACAAAACCCUUACUUUCCAUCCUGGAAUCAAUACUGUUUAUUGGUUCUAAGGCAGAUGAGUGGUAAGGGCUAGGCAAUGGGGAUUAAGUGACUUGCCCAGGGUCACAUGGCUAGGAAGUGUCUGAGGCCAGGUUUGGACCCAGGACCGCUGGGCCUGGCUCUCAAUCCAUUGAGCCACCCAGCUGACCCCAACAUUUAUUCUUGAAUGAUUAUGUUCUGAUUGUACAGUCAAAGAAGUUUGCCUUUUGUUGGUAACCCAUGUGAAUAUGACCAUAAUCCUUCUGGCAAGUAAAACUUUCCUUCCUUCCCUGAUCUAAAACCCUUCUGCCUUUUCCCUUUCACUCUGGAGAUGAGAAGUGACUGUCCUUCAUCCAAUAUGGGGCCUCUUGGCCCUUGAGACUUACAGGUUCUACAGUUUCUGAGAAAAAUGAGGCUGUGUGACAUUUCUUUACCCCCAAACUCUAGGGGUUCCUCCUCCCUGUGGAACUUCUCUUCAGAUCCUGCUAGCAAUGACAGGAAUGAUGACUAGCAUCCUCUGUUCUGGGAUGUCCCCUGGUGCCAUUCUUGGAGCAGUUAGACCACCAUGGGGGUUUACAUUGCUGCUGCAUAAUUAUCACUGCUUUACACCUCAUCUGAUUUGAAAGAAUGUUCAGCUUUCCCAUUCUUUUUCAUCUUCCUUUCCCAAUUAACUAGAUUGUGGGGACAAAUCAGAACCAAAAUCCUUGCUAAUGUUUAGCUUUGGAACUCAGGGAGAGACUCAUUUCUAUUCUCUACUGCUACAGCCUCAGAAUCAGAAAUCUUUGAAGAAAUCCAAGACCAGCUCCUUGGAUGCGUGCCGUGUGAGCUGGUAUCAGUUCUUCAGAGGAGAACAGAAGCUAUAAAUGGUUUAGUAGUGCAUCCAAGAAAAUAAAUGAAGCAGAUGUGCCUAGGCAUGCCCCCAGAAGGAGUCUCUGCUUUUUGACAAGGUGUGAAGCCUCUCCCUCAGUAUCCCACCACCCGACAAGGUGUGAAGUGCUCAUGUCCCCAGCCAGGAGGCUGUUAUUCUGCACUGACUGAACUUCCCAUACCUGAGCUACACUCUGGAGUUUGCCCUCAAAAGACAAAGACUCAAGCGGGUUGGAGGGAGGGGAAGUCAGACAAUGAUGAAGAAAAGACUACUCUUGCUGCCUUGAAGAGGAGUUAGCCCAAGCAGACGGGCCUUCCAGAGGACUCCACAUCUCAGGGAUGGCAGCAGAUGGAGGCUGCGGUGGGGUGGCAAAGACCUGGGGGCAUGGGAAGGGGUAGGGCUGCAAGAAUCAGAAACAUUGGAGUAUUGGAGGAAACAGUAGGCAAAGACAAAGUGAAGAGGAAUUCCGGUGCCAGGCCAAAGUCUGCAUUAAACUGGCAGCUUUGAGAGCUGGAAUCGAAGGGCAAAGAGGCAUAGAACCAUAGCAAGGAGAAGCCAACACAAAUCCAUCUCUUUCCUGCUACUUUGAGUCAUAUGGACUGUGCAGGUGGUGUAGGUUAGUGAGGGGGGACGGUGGCUCAUUAUUGACCUUGAAGUCUUUCAACACUUGGGGGAUGUCUCAAGAUCAGGGUGAGAAAUAUAAUCGAUGUACAUUAAUCGCCACAGUGAGGACUGACCAGAAAAUAUCUUAGACAUCAAACAUUUUAUCUCCUUGCCAAGUAGAGAAAUAUGGCAAACAAAGCAAUAGUAGCUUAGAAUAUAAACUUAUUUAGAACAUCUGCUUUAGAAUAUAAACCCAUUUAUAACAUCCGAGAAGAAUGGUAGAAUAUUGUGAGCCUAGAUAAGUAAGAAAUGGUGAAAGUAAAACCAUCUGCAGAAGACUUAGCAAGAGACCCAACCAAACAAAAUCAUCCUGAGAUAUUUAAAAAAAGGAAAAGGUUUCCGCCACAAACACUUUGCUUCAUCAGUGACUCUGAAACCAUCACAUAUAGAUCCUAAUAACACAGUCCCUAAUGUACUGCAUAAGGAAGUGGAAAUGGCAUUAACAUUAAAGAAACUAAGAUAGACUGGACCAAACAUGCACAGACAGGCAAAGGAAGUCUGGGAUAAAAGCAAUCCAAUUGGGAUGGUGUUAAUGAAUCAAUUCUCAAGGAAUCUGAAAGAAGGGAAGACACCAAAGGCUUAGAAAAAAGUUGAUCCUGUUACAACCACCAGAAAAAAUGACCAUGAAAAUAUAAUAACUACUAAACUCAGAGGGCAAUUGUCCCACUUCUACAGAAUUUUAAAGAGAUUAAUGGAUCCACGAAUGGAGAGAAAACUUGAAGGCAUGAAAAAGGAACAGGCUGGCUUUACCUUUACCAUCUACCUCCUCUGUUCCUAUUCAUGAGCUGCUGAAUGCUACUGGAGAAAGUCACAUAACUAAUGAUUAGGGACAAAUUAUACAGUUUAUAUAAGCUAAUCUCUCAUUUGCAUAACAAUCCUUUUUAUUCUUCCCUAAUUGGUUCUCUAUCCCACUACCCAGAGAGGCUAUUCCAAUAAUCUUUUCUCUCCUUAACCCCCUACCAUCCCUCAUCCACUCCUUCUCAGCAGAAGAAUUCAUCUCAUACUUAAUUAGAAAGCAGAGAUCAGGGUACAGCUUAGUGGCUCAGUGGACUAGAGAUGGGAAGUCCUGGGUUCAAAUCUGGACUCUGACACAUCCCAGCUGUGUGACCUUGGUCAAGUCACUCCACCCUCAUUGCCUAGCCCUUACCACUCUUCUGCCUUAGAACCAAUCACAGUAUUGAUUCCAAGACAGAAGGUAAGGUUUAAAAAAGGUACAAAAGAAAAGAAAAAGAAAGGAGAGAUCAUCUGCCCCAAGUCCCUUCUUAAAUCUUCUCAAUAUCAUGCCCUCCUCUUCUCCUUUGCUUCAGUCUCUGAAGAAAAGGUAGUCCUUCUCUUAGGCACAGUCAGCCCCUCCACUUGUGCCCUUGAGCCCAUUUCAUCCUGUCUCUUCUGAGAACUUGUCCAUUUGAGCAUCUCCCCUCUGGUUAACCUGUAGUUGUUUUACUCUUUUUUUAAUUGCUUGCUGCCUACAAGCAUGCCUAGAUCUCAAUGUCUUUAAAGGAUCUUUCCCUGAACAGGGCAUCCCCUCAAGCCUUCAUUCUAUAACUCUUUGCCCUUUCAUCACCAAAAUCU